AACCGCAAGUGGAAAUGCUAUUUUCACUGGCGGUUUUAUAAAGAAAACCGCGAGUGGAAAUAGCAUUUCCACUUGCGGUU
rnacentral:pre_miRNA from 7 species